AGCGCUACGUGGAGACCGGACUGAGUGGAUGCGGAGCCCUGGAGCUGGGAAACUAGAGGGCGUAAAUCACAGACAAGCUGCACAAAGGCAAGGACUUUGUUGUAUCUCCUGAUGUAAUCCCAGCACGAAGAAACAUGUAAUGCAGGCACGGGUCUGUGGUUGAGUUUUCAAGCAGGAUCAAGUUACAAAGCGUCACACACCUAUCCACGGGGGCUCUGAUAUGG